CACCAGCGCCACGAGUGGUGAUCACAUUUAUUGGGCCUAAAGCGUCCGUAGCCGGUUUGGUAAAUUUUCUGUGAAAUUGUUGUGCUUAACGCAACAACGUGCAGAAAACACUGCUGAACUUGGAACCGGGAGGGGUUAGAAGUAUUUUUGGGGUAGCGGUAAAAUGUUAUAAUCCCAAAAAGACUACCUGUGGCGAAGGCGUCUAACCAGAACGGAUUCGACGGUGAGGGACGAAAGCUAGGGGAGCAAAACGG
rnacentral:rRNA from 1 species